GAUGAACGCUGACAGAAUGCUUAACACAUCAGCAAUUGAUUGGUGGCGGACGGGUGAGUAACGCGUAAAGAACUUGCCUCACAGGUAGGGACAACAUUUGGAAACGAAUGCUAAUACCUAAUACUGUGAGAGAGCUUUGCGUCCCAUUAGCUAGUUGGAGAGGUAACGGCUCACCAAGGCGAUGAUGGGUAGCCGGCCUGAGGGGGUGAUCGGCCACAAGGGGGCUGGGACACGGCCCUUACUCCUACGGGGGGCAGCGGUUGAGUAGAUUGGACGAGGGACCAAGGUGUGUUCCAGGAAUUCUGUGGGCAGGAUGAAGUUUUCAGAAUGUAAAGUGCUUUAUGUGGGAAAGCGGUACCAACAGGAGAAGUGACGGCUAAAUACGUGCCAGCAGCCGCGGUAAUAC
rnacentral:rRNA from 1 species